AUGUUUGAAAAGUUUAGUGAAGAAUUGUAUAAGUGUGGGGCACAUGUGUUGGACGAGGUGGUGCCUAGGCGGAUUUACAAGUCGACCCAUGUAGAAGCGGACAAAAGGGAAAAAUGGAGCAAAGUUGAAUUCAAGAUAGAAGUGGAUGAAGACGAGAGUUUUUUCAGUUGCGAGUGCGGUUAUUUUGAACAUGCUGGGCUAGUGUGCUGCCAUGCAUUGCAGGUGUGUCUCGGUGUUGAAAGAUCGUGGAUGUCGCCUAGAGGGGGGGUGAAUAGGCGCUUUAAAAUAAUUACGGUUUAG
rnacentral:rRNA from 1 species